rnacentral:lncRNA from 1 species
GAUCUUUCGCUAUCAUCAUAUAUAGACACAUCAGAACUCGUUAAAGCUUAGAGACAAGAACGAGGUACCAGCUGAUGAGCAAUUUUGACCAGAAAAUCACUUAAUUUACCGGCUGCUUUAAGCUAAGCACUACCGAGGCUACUCACGAGGGCGACAUGCGUACAAGAACAUGAUGAUGACAGUGUGAUCACUUUAUUUUCUUUUUCACUCGCCUUUUGCCAACUUUUUCUUCCUCCUUUCUUCUAGCUCCCGGCCUUUUCCUUUCACCGUCUUUCUUGCCUGUGUUACUUUCUUUGUGUUACCGAUCCAAAUGACAAAAGCCGAGCAAUAGAGCCGUGCAUUACGGUGAGUGAAAAAGAAGCUUAAAGCAGUAAACUAGACCAAAAGUUCAGCACGGAUUAAGCUUUUGUGUAUAAUUCUUAAAUAUUUCACUUUAUCUUUAGUAUUUGCUCAUGUGUUAGUCAUUGCUACGGCAGUAUUAUUCAGUCUAUGCAUAGUACGGUGGACCGGUGGUAUAUAUACAACAUAUGCUAUACCGCACCUCUUCCUCUGAUAAAAUAAACCAUGUUGCUAAAUGAAUUAUAAGCUAGUACUCCCUCCACCCC